rnacentral:tRNA from 1 species
GGCUCCGUAGCUCAGCUGGAUAGAGCACUUGACUUCGAAUCAAUAGGUCGGGGGUUCGAAUCCCUCCGGGGUCA